GUCUACAGCGAUGCCACCCUGGACAAGCCCGAUCCUGUCUCUUCUUAGAAAAUAAGCGGGGUCGGGCCUGGUUAGUACUUGGACGGGAGACCACCUAGGAAGACCAGGUGCUAUAGGUG
rnacentral:rRNA from 1 species